AGGUCAGUGUCGUGGUUUGAAGGGAAGUGAGUUUUUUGGAAGUAGUGGUCAAACCAAUUAGUCUUUAGAUCUGAAUAUUGGCACCUUUGUUGGCCACUAAGAGGUGGACACGCCUCUGAGGACACGAGGGGUUAAAAGCCGGAUUUCCCAGCAGGACUCUCUCUUUCCUGCUCUGCUUUCGGAGAGGGAGCGUCUUCUCCUCUCCCCUGCCGGCCUGGCUAGGCCGGGUGGGGGAGGGGAGCAAGGUGGGCCUGGCUUAGCAAGAGAGAAGGUGCCGAGCUGGAGCUGCUUGUGAGAACUGCAGUGUCUGCGAUCGCCUGUGCCUGACCUUGGUGGUGGGAGAUAAAGCUUUUAACUCUUUCUAAGGCAGAAGAGAGUUAUCCCUGGACGCUGUAUUCUCAUAGUUGGUGGUUUUAGAAGAGAGAGGACAGCCUGGGACCGAGAGGGUAAUGUGAGAUGAAAAGAAGCCCCUUCGAUGGCCGGAAUGAAGAGGAGUGGCUUAUGAAGCUGGACUUUUCUUGCAUAAUGAUAGCCAUAGACGGACCCUGGACCCUCCUGACUAUAAAUAAGACUGUGUUUGGGUGGAUGUAUUUGGCUCAAACCCAGAGACGUUCUGGCCUGCUUCGUGGAGCCCCCGGCCCCAGGGGGAAAUGGGGGGGACCUGAGUCCCAAAAUGAGAAGAUGGCUGGUUUUUGGUACUUGGCCAAAACAUCCUUAAAAAGAGCCCUGUUGCAGUGCAGGUCCAUGGACGGCAGUGAGAGUGCCGGACAUGGAAAGGAGGGUGUCACCCUGGCAGACCCUUCCAGGCAGUGCCAUGGGUGACGUGGGAACACGGGAUGGUGGACCUGUGUUUCCUGUGGGGGGAUGGUCUGUGGUGCGAGAGAGACUCCUCUCGUCCUGGAUGGAAUGUGGAUUGUCUGAAUUUUAAAGGAUGAUGGUUUGGAUUAGGAACCCAGGGUUGUUGGGGGAUUAAGCAAGUAGAUGAAGGUAAUGUGCUGGAGACAACUGAGUGAGCAUGUAUGGAGUGGAAAUUGGGGGGAGGAGAAGCAGUGUUUUGGGAGGUUUUCUCUUCUGCUUUUGGGUGGUUGGGUUUUUCUUUCCUUUUCUAUUGUCCAUUGUUAUGUAAUAUAAUAAAUUGUCUGUCUGUUUCAAGAA